rnacentral:rRNA from 1 species
UACGAAGGGUGCAAGCGUUACUCGGAAUUACUGGGCGUAAAGCGUGCGUAGGUGGUUCGUUAAGUCUGAUGUGAAAGCCCUGGGCUCAACCUGGGAAUUGCAUUGGAUACUGGCGAGCUAGAGUGCGGUAGAGGAUGGCGGAAUUCCCGGUGUAGCAGUGAAAUGCGUAGAGAUCGGGAGGAACAUCUGUGGUGAAGGCGGCCAUCUGGACCAGCACUGACACUGAGGCACGAAAGCGUGGGGAGCAAACAGG